AAGAAUAAAAAGAAAACGAAAGGAAAUAAGAAGAAUAAAUAAAUAAAAAAAGAAGGAUAAGCUCAUCUCCCGCUCACCCCUCUUUCUCCCCGAUCGCAGACUGCGAUCCUCUUCCCCUGAAUGACUCCGACCAUCGAUCGACAAGACCGGGACGGCAAUCGAUGCUCCGAGCAGCGGCGACCUCGGGUCCUGCCAUUCCUCAGAUCAUUGAAAACCAUUCCACGAGGAACAAGGCAUUCUCCUUUGCAGCACCCAUGUGAACAUCUACACCUCUUCCCCUUUUCGCAAAGCAUUCAUGUUCACAUCGGCACUCGCUUCAAUCUCUUGCCAAUGGAUUGCCAUGGCUUCUUCCUGAGAGAUUUUCUCCUUUAGAAAUAGGACCAGAAGCAAGUUUCGUGAAACUUUUGGUAACAUUUGGCUUCUUCUUUUUAACUAAGGAUUUAAUGGGGUUUUCAUUUCCUUUUCAUAUUUUUAUAUAAGAAUUAUGAAAAUUGUUAGGAAAAUAAUUAUUAAAUUUGAAGAGGUGUAGAUGUUAACUGGACUACUGAGCUCGAUAUGAAGAGGUGUAGAUUGUGCUGAUCGUCUUCUGCAUAGGUGAUUUGCAAAGACAAGGGCAAUUUUACCAUAAAAUGAUUUUGAGUGUAAGCAAUGGAAAUUUAAGGACAUUUUGGUGAUUUCUCAA